UACUCUUCAUUGCAGUUUGACGCGAUUUCAGGAGAUCUGUGGAGAUGACAGACCAUAAGAGCUCGCUCGCUGUUGACCUAUCGCUUUGAAAUCCAUGUUCGAUCGGUCCACAUGCCAACUUGACGUCAGCUAGUUGAAAAUGACUGCAACUUGAAAGGGACGAUAUCUCUGGACUCAUUAGAGCAAAAUAUGGCUUGGAUAUGAAUCCAUUACUAGCAUUCUUGACUGCAACUUUUGAGG
rnacentral:misc_RNA from 1 species